rnacentral:rRNA from 1 species
GAGGAAUAUUGGUCAAUGGAGGCAACUCUGAACCAGCCAAGUCGCGUGAAGGAUGAAGGUCUUAUGGAUUGUAAACUUCUUUUUCAAGGGAAUAAAGUGGGGGACGUGUCCUCCUUUGCAUGUACCUUGCGAAUAAGGAUCGGCUAACUCCGUGCCAGCAGCCGCGGUAAUACGGAGGAUCCGAGCGUUAUCCGGAUUUAUUGGGUUUAAAGGGUGCGCAGGCGGGAUGUUAAGUCGGCGGUGAAAUUUUGCAGCUCAACUGUAAAAGUGCCUUCGAUACUGGCUUUCUUGAGUGUGGAUGAAGUAGGCGGAAUUUGUGGUGUAGCGGUGAAAUGCUUAGAUAUCACGAGGAACUCCGAUUGCGCAGGCAGCUUACUAAACCACUACUGACGCUCAUGCACGAAGGCGUGGGGAUCAAACAG